UAAAAUUAACACAAGGAAUGGCCAGGCGUGGCGGCUCACACCUGUAAUCCCAGCACUUUGGGAGGCCGAGCUGGGCGGAUCAUGAGAUCAGGAGAUCAAGGCCAUCCUGGUUAACAACUCCAUCUCUACUAAAAAUAGAAAAAAUUAGCCGGGCAUGGUGGCAGGCGCCUGUAGUCCCAGCUACUGGGGAGGCUGGGGCAGGAGAAUGACGUGAACCCAGGAGGCGGAGCUUGCAGUGAGCUGAGGUCGCACCACUGCACUCCAGCCUGGACGACAAAGCGAGACUCCAUCUCAGAAAAACAAAACAAAAACCAAACAAACAAAAAAAGAAAUUAACACGAGGAAAUAGCCACAUGGAAGGAAAUAUGAAGGAAUACAGUGUAAGCUCCUGUGAUUCCUCUCCCACCAUAUUGCACAGAAUGCACUGACUUUACCCGGAAUCAUAUUUUGUCAAUGUAUGUGAACUGUUGUCUACAAGAGAUGCUCUCUACAUACUCCAUUACUAAGAUUUUGUCUGGGACUGGUUACAUUGACUCACUCUGCUUCGCAGGCACAAAACUUCCAAAAGUCUCCAAAAGGAAAGCAGGUGCACAGAAACUCCGCAGUUUGCACAAGCAGUUACUUACAGCCACCAUUCUUAUCAGUUAGGAAAUAGUGAGAAAUCCACCUUAUCAGAUACCAGCAGGUUUAUAUGGGAAACAGGCCUGUCUAUGGAUAGCAGUCUAUUAUGUCAAGUCUUUUCUACACAGCCAUUAGCCAUUCUGUCGGCAUGACAGAACUAAAUAGUAGGUGUAAAAAUGUAUACUCUAAGGAUAUUGAUUUGUAUAAGAAAUAGACUGCAAGGAGUAAGUGAUUAGCAAAAUGGGGUUCAGUUCCAUAAGUUCAAGGCAACUCUUUUAGGAAACAUAUGAUUGCAGUGAAAUUUACAAUUAUUGACUUACGUAACAAAUUUGGAUACAGAUUUGAAAGUAUAUCUUUUAAAUGACAAAAACAGAAACAAAGCAAACUGUUUUCCUAUCUGGAAAGUAUUUCAGAGGCUUUCUUUUUCCCAUAGAAUUACAAGGAACUAGAUACUGGGUCUCACAGCCCUCUCCUCAUACCAUCCUUGAUCAUUUCUUUGCUGUAUGAGUACUCAAAGGCUUACCAAAGCUGGAGCUUUAGUGGUAUCCUCAUCUUUACUUCCUCUCCAUGUCAAUUUAUAUUACAAAGUAAACCACUCCUGUCAAUGGUCUUCAAAAUGUCCCUUUGUAAAUCCUUAUAUUGUAUAGAUCAGAAAUGUGAAACCCAAAUUUUAUGUAACUAGUCCCUAUUCACACACAUUGUAUUCCCAAGACAGUCUUGAGAUACAAGUUUUCUUCCAGUGUAGAAAUAGCUAAGUCUAGAAAAGAAAAUCUAUUCCAUUAAUUUUCCUGUCAGAGAAACAAGAAAUUUUUCUGUUACAAUAUUUUGAUACAAAUUUGACCCAUAUUAACAAAGAAAAAGAAUUUAAAUUUUCCUUGUUAGGUUCUAGUAUUUUUUUUUUCUUAAAAUGAGGAUAUUUUAUCGUUUCAGGUAAUUUUCCCAGAGGUGAGAAUAGUACAUGAGAAAUUCUCUUUAGGCCAGGUCUAGUAUUACAGUGUGGUGCUCAAGGCCGCCCAUCAGAACAGUGAUACUCUCCCAACAGAUUUCAUCCACCCCGUCUCCACUAACUUUUGCCAUAAAAAUUCCUCUGAAUUGUAUCUUCUUGGAAGAAGUAAAUAUCUGUUCGACUAUACAAAGAAACAGAGAAACCACUCCCAUUGCAAUCAAUCUUCAAGAGAGGGAGCAGGCAAGCCGUGUUCUUUCUGCUGAGUUGUAUAGACUCUGACAAGCUGUGAAAUAAACAUAAACAGAAGACAAAACAGUGCCACAAAUAAGCAGUAGAUGACCCUGUGACAAGAUGGCAUUGCAGAACAAAGACUGACGUUUAAAGGGGAGUCAUGCAGAGUAACAUAGGAACACAAGCCUGACAACCUGGUCAGCUUCCACUUACUCUAGCUCCUUUGAACUCUCAACACUAAAAAUAUUAUUGUUACCUCUGCAGGCGCAUAGGUGCCAAAUCCCAGGACAGGCAUGAAGUGACCAUCAUUCAGCUUCACACACUGAUAUUUCGAAUCCAUUUCUGUCACUAGCCUGGCUGGCAAAUGUUUCUUUCUUCCUCCCUCACAGGCUAUAAGAGCAAUGAGCUGGCAACGCCCCUGAGCACACUGUCUGCUGGUUAACCAAUGGCAUGUGAGAGGAGGGACAGAGGCAGUCUUACACAAGCUGUGAUAAAAAUUGCAUCCAGUUCAACCGUUUCUUACCUAAGAAAAUUCAUAAGUAAAUUAUUAUGUGGUCAUGAUACACUCAUUAAUUUCCUCUGAAGUAUUUUUGCUAUUCCAGAUCUCUAUAUAUGAGACAUAAAUUACUCAAAGAGAUUUGUAGAACAAAUUGUGACUUUACAUAAGAAUACAGAAACCUCUAGCGGCACAGCUCUUUUUUGUUUGUGUCAUGAUGAUGAGUUCCUUCUGCAUCUUGCAGCAUUUGAAAUGACUAAUUUUCAUUUUUCUCUCUCUCACACACACAAUUUAAAGGAAUGACUAAUGAGCAUUUCUUUAAAAUAUUGCCCUCAAUUAAAAAUUAAAGUUAAAAUUUUUUAAUGCAUUACUUUUUUCAUCAGCAAAUUUAUUGUUCCUUUCUUAUUAGCCUUGUAAGAGAAACAUCCCUUCCUGAUCAAGGUGCAGUCCUGAUAAAGUUGUAAUCCUGAUGUGGGUGUAAAUAAAAAAGAAAAUAUGAUGUGGUUUUAUUGGAAGAUUUCUUAUUAACAGCUUUUGGACUUUGGAUAUAAUUUGUAACAUGCAAACAGUGCCUUAUUUGUCUUUUCCAGCCAUUUUUAUGAAUUGCUACCAAAAAGUAACAAGCCAAAAUAUGAUAACUAUUAGAUAUACUUUAUAAUAUUGCUAAACAUUAUUCAUAAAGAAAAACUGGUAACUAAUGACAUAUAAACUGGUGAAUAAUCCUCGCAUGGGAUAAUUUUUACUUUAUUCUCCCUUUGGAGGUCAGGUUAAAACAUGAUUGUAAUUUGCAUGAUCCAUGAUUCACAUCUUGGAGUAGUCACAACUUGCAGUGCCCUGAUUGCUUCUAUUUGCUUUUUCAUAAAACAAACAGAAAUUGAAAAAUAGGUAAAUUGUUAUCAUUGACAUAAAUGUAAUAUUAUAAAGAUAUUGAAAUUUUUCACAGAGUAAUUUCAACAAGAUGGUGGAUUCUAAGAUUCCCAUAUAACUCAUGGAAACAUCAGAAAAUACCUAAAAUUGACUGAAAUAAACUUAUUUAUUUCUGGAGUGGCUCAGUAGAGAUUCAGGGUGACUAUACACAUACAGAUGUUAUAGGCAAAAGGCCAGGGGAAGAGACAUGCAAUAGUCCAUCUAAGCCAUUGAGGAGAAACUGGGAUGCGAAAUUUCAUAAUAGUAAGCAAUUCAAAAGCCAUUGGUUAUUUGGGGAUACAUAAAAGGGCAAACACAGUCCACGUAGGUGCAUGUUCAGAAACAAACUAAGAAGGACUUGAGGUUUUAUGUAGGGCUGAUGCCUUGACUGAGAACCUGCCACACAUAUAAGUUAAUGACUGUCAUGACAUAGAACAAAUCUAUAUACAGUAAAAAAGAUGUUUAUUUUUUCAAAUGCCCAAUUAGAUAAAAUAACAAGGCAUACAGGCCUGGAGCAGUGGUAAUCCCAGCACUUUGGGAGGCCGAGGCGGCCAGAUCACGAGGGCAGGAGAUGGAGACCAUCCUGGUCAACAUGGUGAAAUCCUGUCUCUACUAAAAUAAGAACAACAACAACAAGAACAACAACAACAACAACAACAACAAAUAGUCGGACGUGGUGGCGGACGCCUGUAGUCCCAGCUGCUCGGGAGGCUAAAGCAGGGGAAUCGCUUGAACCCAGGAGGCAGAGGUUGCAGUGAGCCGAGAUGGCACCACUGUACUCCAGCCUGGCGACAGAGCAGGACUCUGGCUCAAAAAAAUAAAAUAAAAUGACAAGGCAUACAAGGAAACAAGAAAUCACAGUUCAUUAUGAGAAAGAAAAUAAAUUAGUAGAAAUCUUUCCUGAAGAAUCACAGGCAUUAAAAUUAGUAGAGAAGCAUUUAAACAGCUGCUUAAAUAUGCUAAAAUUGCUAAUGAAAAAUAUGGACUAAGAACUACAGAAAAUCUGAAAACAAUAAGAAAAUCACGAUACAGUAGUAAUAUAGAAAUUAUAAAAAAGGAAAAAAUUGGAGCAAAAAAAGUACCUGAAUGAAGAACUCACCAGAGGGUGUUUCAAUAGCAACUUUGAGCAGGAUGAAGAUAUAAUCAAUACACAUAGGGAUAGCGCAUUUGAAGUUCCUGAGUCUAAGGACACGAAACAAGAAUAAAGAAAUGUGAACCGGUCCUAAGGGACUUAUGGGACAGCUUCAAGCCGACCAGUAUGAUAGUAUUGGAUUCCCAGAAGGAGAAGUGCAAACCCAUGGUGGUAGACAGAUUAUUUGGAGAAUAAAAACAUCAAAACUUUUUCAAAUUGGUUAAAGACAACAAUCUACAAAUUCAGGCCACUUAAAGAACUGCAAAUAGUAUAAACUCUAAGAGACCCAGAUCUGUAUGUGUUAUCAUCCAACUCUAAAAGCCAGACAAAGAGAUAAUCUUUAAAUAGCAAGAGAUUUUGGGAGCCGAGGCAGGCGGAUCACCUGAGGUCAGGAGUUCGAGACCAGCCUGGCUAACAUGGUGAAACCCUAUUUCUACUAAAAAUACAAAAAAUUAGCCAGGCAUGGGGGUGCACACCUGUAAUUCCAGCUACUCAGGAGGCUAAUCCCGGAAAAUAGCUUGAACCCAGGAGGUGGAGGUUGCAGUGAGUCGAGAUUGCACCAUUGCACUCCAGCUUGGGCAACAAGAGCAAAACUCAAUCCCCCCUCCCAAAAAAAAAUAUCUCACACCAGUUAGAAUGGCGAUCAUUAAAAAGUCAAGAAACAACAGGUGCUGGAGAGGAUGUGGAGAAAUAGGAACACUUUUACACUGUUGGUGGGACUGUUAACUAGUUCAACCAUUGUGGAAGUCAGUGUGGUGAUUCCUCAGGGAUCUUGAACUAGAAAUACCAUUUGACCCAGCCAUCCCAUUACUGGGUAUAUACCCAAAGGAUUAUAAAUCAUGCUGCUAUAAAGACACAUGCACACGUAUGUUUAUUGCAGCACUAUUCACAAUAGCAAAGACUUGGAACCAACCUAAAAGACCAACAACGAUAGACUGGAUUAAGAAAAUGUGGCACAUAUACACCAUGGAAUACUAUGCAGUCAUAAAAAAUGAUGAGUUCACGUCCUUUGUAGGGACAUGGAUGAAACUGGAAACCAUCAUUUUCAGCAAACUAUCGCAAGGACAAAAAAAACCAAACACCACAUGUUCUCACUCAUAGUGGGAAUUGAACAAUGAGAACACAUGGACACAGGAAGGGGAACAUCACACACCGGGGCCUGUUGUGGUGUGGGGGGAGGGGGGAGGGAUAGCAUUAGGAGAUAUACCUAAUGCUAAAUGACGAGUUAAUGGGUGCAGCACACCAACAUGGCACAUGUAUACAUAUGUAACAAACCUGCACAUUGUGCACAUGUACCCUAAAACUUAAAGUAUAAUAAUAAUAAAAUUAAAAAUAAAUAAAUAAAUAAAUAAAAAACAAAACAAAACAAAACAAAAAGUAGGAAGAGAAACAAGAAUCAUGGGGUACAAGGGAUCCUGAACAAGGUGAUCCACAGAUUUCUUACGAGAGUCUUUGGAGGAUAUAGUAAGUGAUACAUUUAAUGUGAUCAAUUAAAAAAAAUUACAGCCAAUAAUUCCAUAUUUGGCAAAAAAAAUUCUUUUUUUUUUUUGUGACAGAGUUUUGCUCUGUCACUAGACUGGAGUGCAGUGGUGCGAUCUCAGCUCAUUGCAACCUCUGCCUCCCAGGUUCAAGCAAUUCUCCUGCCUCAGCCUCCUGAGUAGCUGGGACUACAGGCGUGCACAACCAUGCCCAGCUAAUUUUUGUAUUUUUAGUAGAGACAGGGUUUCACUAUGGUAGCCAGGAUGGUCUCUAUUUCUUGACCUUGUGAUCCGCCCACCUUGGCCUCCCAGUGUGCUGGGAUUACAGGCCUUAGCCACUGCACCCAGCCAAAUUAUUUCUUAAAAAUUACAAAGUUAGUAAGACUAUGUGAUGUAGAAGCUGCAGGAGUUCAUUGCCAUUAGAACUGCUCUACAAGAAAUGCUUAAGAGAGUCAUUCACUUUGAAAUGAAAGAAGUUUAGACAGCAACGUGAAGUCAUAUAGAGGUAUAAAGACCUCUCGUAAAGGUAGGUGUAUGAAAAACGUGGAAACAUGUAUUUGUGAAAUUUGUUUUUUACUCUCAUUUUCUUCAAGAUUUACAUUACAAUAAGAAUACCUUUCUGUUAACAUGUACACCAUGUAUAAAGUUGCAAUUAGUGACAUCAAUAAUGUGAAGCAGAAAGGUACCUGUGGAAAAGAAGUUUUUGUAUGGAAUUGAAGUUAAAUUCACAUUGAUUUCAAAGUGGAUGGUAUAACUAUAGGAUGCAGUAUGUCAUUCCAAUGGUAACUACAGAGAAAAUAAUUACAGAUUAUGCACAAGAGAAAUUGAAACGGGAAUCCAAAUUUUAGCAAAGAAUCAUAGAAACCCCAAAAUAUUGUUAGUUGAGGAUAUAAAGGAGAAAAAGCUGCAGACAUAAAUUUCAGGUCUUUCUUACAUACAAAAUCCAAUCAGUUUACCUCAAGAGUCUCUAAAGCCUUAUCAGGUUUAGAAUCAACUUAAAUGUCUAAAAUGCAAAGAUUUAUCUGAGAUCCAAGAAAAAUUUCUACCAGCUAUGAGCCUGUGAAAUCAAAAACCAAGUUAUUUCCUUCCAAAUUACAAUGGUUUUAUAGGCAGUGGUUGAACAAUCUCAUUUCAAAAGGGAAAUGUCAGCUUAAAGAGAAGAGGAAGAGGCUUCAUGCAAGUCAUAAAGCCGACAGGGCAGAAAUUAAACCUUAAAGCUGCAAAAUCAUCUUCCUUGACUCUAUAUUCUUCAUUCUGGGCACACUGGUGACAGGGGUAGGCUUCUGGGGGCUUUGGGAAGCACUGUACCUGUGGCUUUGCAGGGUGCAGCCCACAUGGCUGCUCUCACAGUUUGGAGUUUAAUGCCCAUGGCUUUUCCAGGCUGAAGUUGUUAGCGCCUGGUAGAUUUAUAAUUCUGGAAUUUUGAGGGGUAAGGCCUUUCUCCCACAGCUUUGCUACACAGUGCACCCAUGGAGACCCCCUGCAGAGCUCCAACCACAUAUUAGUGCUCAACAUUGCCUAAAUAAAAGCUUUAUGUUGGGGAUCCGGCCCUGGAACAGGAUUCUCUCUGGGUAUCCAGGAUUCCUGACACAUUGUCUGAAAUCUAGGUGGCAAGUGCCAAGCCUCAACCACUCUUACACUCCAGAGGGCUCAAGCUUAAAGUUCCCCUCUUCUAUUUGUCACUCUCUACUCAUCAUUUCCUCCAGUGACCAAGUGUGUGUCAUGCACCUUGCCAAGGCUCAAGGGGUACCUUGUACAUGGGGGCUUCUGCCUGACUAGUGUGGGUCGUGGAGUCGCUAAGAACUAAAACUUUCCACAGCUUGUUUACAAUGUGGUGGAAAGAAACUGAUCUCAGGAGACCACAGGAAUUCUCAGUCCUACAGGUGAGGGAGAGGGAGAGGAAUAUGAGGAAAGGGAGAUGGGAAGAGGAUGGAAAGCAGAUGGAAGAUGGAAGAUCAGGGAGGACAGAAGUGGGAUGUCCUUGAGUCAUACAUAGAGAACACUCAUGUGCCUCAAGUAAAUAAAUGAUCCUAAUUUCUUCUCACUAUUUUUUCUGAACAAGUGUUACAGUUUGCAAAGAACUCCGAAUAUUUUCUCAACAAAUAUAUAUUGAUAUGAUACUUUAAACAAAAUGAUGUUUGCCAGCACUGUUUGUCCUGAGAUUUCCUGUUUGGUUGACUCAAUUCUCUGGGGUGAAGAGGUUCUAUGUGAACAAAAAGGGGUACACUUGAGCCUCACAGAGGCUUGUGGGUGAAGUCAUGUCUGUGAGAGGCUGUGGAAGCUCACAGUUAGCCUGCAUUGCUGUGGAAAAUGGUGGGAUGCCAAAAGCCGUGCAGGAGGAAAAAGGAAGAGCUGGGAGGCUGUGGAAGAGGCUGAGGUGCUGCUGAUGCCCUGGAGAAAAGUUUGGGGAAAAGACAGAGGUGCCUAAGGCAAUAUGUAGGAAGUUUUAAUUAUGACAUUAGUUGAAAUUUCACAACCCAUGAAAUUUAAAGUAAAUUCCACCUUGCUCAGUUUUUUCAUAGAGGGAACUCUGUUUGAAGAAACAACUGUGUCACCAAUGUUGACUCUGGAUGAGUGACAAUUCCACUGAGCACUUUUUGAGACGUCUGCCUUGUCUGCACUGUUUGCUAUUUUACUAUUUCUCGAUACUAUUGUUCACCCCUACAAUCUACUCGGGUUGAUGCAGUCAGGGUGACUCAGCAGCUUGCACACCUUGCGACCACUCCUGGAUAGGUCAACAAGCAGGGGAGGUUGUAAAGAGAAAAGUAUUAAUAUUAUAGUUGUUUUGGUUAGCAUAAAACCAGGUGAGAAAAACCUAUUUCUGAAUGGUUUAAACUCCAUGUGAUAUGGACAGGAGACAGGGAAAUACUGGGUAGAAGAGGGUGGUUUCCCAGCAAAGGCCCCACCUUCAAGCCUGGAUAGCCGUGCCCCUAAAUGAGAACAGGCAUUUCAGUUUUCAUGCCCCGAAAAUUUGCCUUUUGGCCCACCACACCUCCAUUCUGCUGCUAUAAAAACCCCCAAAACCUAAGUUCCUGGGCAGACCAGCAGGUGAAGAGACAAGGAGGCAACCAGAUGGACGGCAGAACAAUGACACACAGAAAGAGAGAAGAGGAGGGACAUUGGACACUGAAAGGAAUUUGGCCUAGGAGGAUUGGAGAAGAGUCCGGCCACUGGGCAGCCUGACUCCAAGGAAAGAUCACCUUCCUACUCAUUCCCCCAUUCCGGCUCCCCAUCCAUCUUGCUGAGAGCUGCCUCCACCACUCAAUAAAAUCUUGCCCUCAUCCUUUGAGCCCACAUGUGAUCUGACUCUUCUGGGAUGCCUGGCAAGAGCUUGGGAUAUAGAAAGCUGUCACACUGGCCCUCUGCCUUUGAGAUAAGUCAGAGGGUCCAUGGAGCUGCAGACUCAAGCCGUCUGCAGAUGGCAAAGCUGAAAGAGCUUUACAACACUGUGGUUGCAGGCACCCACCACUAGACACUACCAUGGAGCCAGAGCCCAAAGCGCUCGCCCUGGCCUGUGCACCUGCCCAUCUCCAUGCUCCCCCUCCCUCAAGCAGUUUGAACCGGUGAGCCACACCCCUCGCAAGUCCUCCAAGGGGAAUCAGGAAACUGUCUCAUUACAUAUACAAAUCUGUUAGCACCAUGUGAAGAAGUCUGAGGAAUGGUAAGCUCUCGGGGUCGCCCAAGAGAGUCUGUAACUUCUCUCAUCUUUUCCUGACUCUUCUUCCUCUAUGUAUUGAUGUCAUCCUCAGGCUGGGUGGAGGCUGCUGCAGCAAUUUUAGAACUCCCAGGGCAACAGGACAAGAGCCACUUUAAGAAGAGGGGCUGCCACAUCUUAAAAGCUUCUUUCUAGAUGUGAGAGAUACCUUCUCAGAAGCCUGCAGCACAGUCCCUCUCAUGCGGUGUUGGCUAGGGCUGGGUUGCAGCACUCUUCCCACUGUAGCUCAUGCCAAGGGCAAGGAAAUAAACAUGAGUGACCUUAGCAAAGCUUUUCUCAUAAAAUGCAUGUUGGUGAUAAUACAAUCCUAACCCCUAAACCAUAAUGAAAAAUUGAUAUUUUCAAAAAGUUAGACAUUUGCAACCUUGCUUAUGCCUCAAAAUAGCUUUGCAAGCUUUUAAAACAACUGGAAAUAAAUCAGUCUUAAAUGUAAGACCUGAGACUAUCAAGUGCUAGAAGAAAAUCUAAGGAAAACUUAUUGGGGCAAAAAAUUCUUAAGUAGGUCCUGGCAAGGAACUCAGACUAAGAUUUCAAAAACACAAAUGAGAGAAUAGGAAGAGACGCAUAUGACUUAAUUAAACCAAUAAGCUUCUGUAAAGGCAAAAAAAAAUAAAAUAAAAUCAACAGAGAACAGACAACCUAUACAAUGGGGGAAAAUAAUUGCAAAUUGUGAAUCUAACAGGGGACUGAUAUCCAGAAUUUAUAAGGAACUCAACCCAACAACAAUAAUUACAACAAAACCCAAAUAACCUCUUUAAAAUUCAUCAAAGAGCAGAGGUUUCCCAACUCCAUGCCUAGGCACACCUAUAGGCACUUGAUAUCUGCCCACUGGAUCCUCCGUCUUCCACUGGUGGAGACUCAGAAGGCUGGGAGGCUGGGAAAUUUUUGGGUAAGUACAAUGGACAUUAUUCAGGUGAUAGCUACACUAAAAGCCCAGACCUCACCACUGUGCAAUAUAUCUAUGUAGCAAACUGCACUUGUAAACUUUAAUUUUAUACAAAUCCAAAAACAAAAUAAAGGAAACAUAGUGAUACCUAAACUUUUCUACAGAUCAAAUGAAUAAGAAUCUCUGGUGUAGGAUUUUAGCUUUUGGCUAGAUGAUCUACAAAAAUACAAUCAGGGCAAUUUGUUCUGGCUAUAAGCAGAUUGAUCCAGUUUGUUUGCUAUAAGCACAGAUCAAUAGGUACAAGGACAAGAGACCCCAACCAGCAGAAAACCUAAAGGAGAAAUUUAGAGAGAAUGAGUGUAGUCUGAGGAUUUCAAUUUACUUUAUUAUGUAAGCAAAUCUGAAUAUGUAAACUUGUGUGGAGAUUGAAAGAAUGGAAAGAGGAAACACGAGAGACCCAAUGACCGAAACCCUUAAUGAAUUUGGAAAGAGGAAACAUGAGAGACCCAAUGACCGAAACCCUUAAUGAAUUAAGAACUUGAUGAACUGAUGUGUAGUGAAAAUCGAAGCGUAAGAGGCUUCAUUAGUAUGAAGUGUGUUAAAGUUAAAGGUUCAUAGAGCAGUUAUAAGUACUUCUUUGUCUGUAUAAGUUAUAGCAUAGAAGUAGUUGCCUGAAGUAUAAUCUAAGUAUGAGUAGAAACUUUCAGUUGUUGAGAAUGUAAAGAACAGCAAUGCUGGAGUUCUCUGCAUGUACAGUGAAAAAAGAUAUUCACAAAUCCUGGGAGAAAUGGUAAACUAAGGGAAUAAAGGGACUAUGACUAGAAGGGGACAUAUGAUAGGGUAUAAAUGAUAUCAGAGCUAAGGAACAGGUUUUUAUUUCAUUAUAUCUGAGAUGAAAUCUAGAUUUUUCAGGACCUAGUGGCUGGUGAUAUAGUACUUUCUAUUAGCAAGGCUAGAAAAUUAAGGCUUACUUGCUUCAAGUUCUCCACAAAGCUAGUACAGUAGGCUCAAUACUGCUCCCUCCCCCUGCCCUGCCAAUAACUCAUGCCUUUAUCUUUGGAAGCUGUGACUAUGUUACCUGACCUGGCAAAACAAACUUUGCAGAUGUGAUUAUGUUAAGGAUCCUAAGAUAGAAGCGUUUCCUGAAUCAUCUGGAUAGGCAAUGUCAUCUCAAAAUCCUUACAAGUGGCACCCAGGAGGGCCACAAUCAAAGAGGAUGUGUAAGGAAAGACGCAUAGGACAGAGAUCCUAAGAUGCCAUGUAGUUGGCUUUCAAGAUAGAAUAAGUGCCAUGAGCCAAGGAACACAUUCUCUGGAACCUGGAAUGGCCCAGAAUAGCAUUUUCCCCUAGACCCUCAAGAAGAAAUACAACCUUGUGGACACCCUGACUUUAGCCUGUUGAACCAGAUUUUGGAAUUCUGAUUCCAAAUUCAUUGGAAUUUGAGAAAAUUAUGAUGUUUCAUAAUUGAUGAACUGUGAGAAAAUUAAUUAUGGUGUUUCAGGCCACAACAUUUGUGAUAUUUUUUUACAGCAGAAAUAGGAAAUGAAUGCAAACAUGAUUCAGCAAUUCUGAUCCUCUCUCUCCUGCAUCAUCAGUUUUUCUCUUUCUACUAGAUUCUUCCUAAGAGCAUAUAGGCAUGCUGUUUUUUCUGCCAUCUCAAAGAAAAUUGUCAUCUCAAUUGUCAGGUGUAUUUAUAACCCAUUCUUUGAAUACUUUCUACACUUCUGUAUCAUUCUUCUCUUCCUACACUUUUUUGAAUGCACCUCUAUUCAGGCUGUUGCCUUUACCAAUUUAUCAAAAUUGGGACAAGGGAGAGGAUGUUGAAAAUAACUAAUGAGUACUAAGCUUAAUAUCUGGGUAACAAAAUAAGCUGUAGAACAAACCCCCAUGGCAUGAGUUUACCUUUAUAAAAAACCUGCACGUGCACCCCUCAACUUAAAAUAAAAGUUAAAAAUAUUGAAAAUUAAAAAAGUUUUGGAGACCUAAAUUACAUUAUUUAAUUCUAAUUCUGAACAAUUAACUUAUUUAAUAUUUAUGAAACAAUUCUGAUACUAAUUCUGAACAAUUACAUUAUUUAAUAUUUAUGGAAAAGUUAAAUUAAAAGAAAUACACAUAACAGUGUCAUGGCUAGCCUUUGACAUUCUCUUAAAAAAUUAAAGCACAACAUACUGAACAAUUACAUUAUUCUAAUGUAAGGAAGUGUGUGAAGAGCACAAAGUCAGA
rnacentral:lncRNA from 10 species